rnacentral:misc_RNA from 1 species
GAUGAAGAACGCAGCAAAAUGCGAUAAGUAAUGUGAAUUGCAGAAUUCAGUGAAUCAUCGAAUCUUUGAACGCACAUUGCGCCCGCUGGUAUUCCGGCGGGCAUGCCUGUUCGAGCGUCAUUUCCACCCUCAAGCCCCCGGGUUUGGUGUUGGGGAUCGGCUCUGCCCUUCUGGGCGGUGCCGCCCCCGAAAUACAUUGGCGGUCUCGCUGCAGCCUCCAUUGCGUAGUAGCUAACACCUCGCAACUGGAACGCGGCGCGGCCAUGCCGUAAAACCCCAACUUCUGAAUGUUGACCUCGGAUCAGGUAGGAAUACCCGCUGAACUUAAGCAUAUCAAUAAGCGGAGGA